UGGGAUUCUCUCUCUCUGCACCGCACCCCUCCAAAUAAAUAAACUUUAAAAAAAAAAGUAUAAUUUCAUAUUUGAUAAGAAAAUAAAGCAAGGUGAGAAGUUAAAGAGUGAUAGAAGGAGAGUGUUUAAAAUGGUCAUGAAAGUUGUUUUGGAGAAGGUGAAGUAUCAAGGAAUGAUCCAUAUAAAGAUAUGGGGUAAGAGCUUCCGUUGGCAAAGGAAGUAGCAAGUAUAAAGGCCUUGGGGUGUAAGCUUAGGAUUGAGGGGUCAUAUGAAGCCUCUCUUUAGUAGUGACAUUUAUAAAGAGAUCUGAAAGGUGAAUAUGGAUUAGCCCUUAGGACAGUGAAGGAGUGAGGAGGAAGCAGUUUAUGCUGAAAAAACAACAAUGGUUGCCAACUUAGAAGAGUUUGACAUAUUCGAGGAAGAAGUCAUUUCCCAGUAAGGGGGAUGAAUAGUACAACAUGAAGCCUUUGAAGACCAUGUUCUCUGAAGGAGAGUUUUAAGCAAGGAAAUGAUAUGAUCAGAUAUGUCUUUGAAAAGAUCACUUUUGUGAAGGUGGUUGGACAGGGCGGGGGUAGAAGUAGGAAGGAAUGGAAAAGAAAAAGUAGUCUGGGCAAAACAUGAUUGGUUGAGACCACAUUGGUGACAGUACAAAUAGAAAUAGAUAAGUAUGGGAUAUUUUUAAUUCACAAGAUCUUGCUUUUGGUGUUUUAUGUAAGAAAUCUUUGUCUAACCCAAGAUUCCAAAAGCUUCCUCAUAUGUUUUCAUUAGAAGUUUUAUAGUUUUAUUUGUUGCAAGCUAUGGAUCAGAGAUUUUUUUGUAUCUUUAUUUUUUUGGUUGUUGCUUUUUCUUUCUUAGCAUAUGGAUAUCCAUUCAUCCCAGAACCACUUGUUGAAAAGAUUAUCCUUUCUCCUCUGAAUUGCCUUUACACUUUUGUUGAAAAUUAAUGAAUUGUAUAUGUGUAGGUCAAUUUCCAGACUGUUCUGUUCCAAUGAUCUUUUUGUGUACCUUUAUACAAUACCAUCCUGUCUUGACUAGUAUUGUUUAUGUUGUCAUAAAAUCAUAAAAUAUAAGUCUUGCAACUUUGUUCUAUUUCAUAAUUAUCUUGGCUAUUCUAAACCCUUUGCAUUUUCAUAUAUGCACAUUUUAGAAUCAGCUUGUCAAUUUCUGAUUGAGAUUGUACUGAAUCUGCAGUUCAGUUUAGGGAGAGUUAACGACUUAUCAAUGCUGAGUCCUUAAAUUCAUGAGCACAGUUUAUCUCUCUACUUUUCAGGUCCUUUUAAAUUUCUCCUACCAAUGUUUUAUAGCUUUCAGUGUGCAAGUAUUCUACACAUUAGUCCAGUUUAUGCCCAUGUGUUUCAUAUUUUUAAAGCUGUUACAAAUGGUAGUUUUUUUAAGUUAAACUUAAAAAAAGUAAAAGCAUUAUGUUUGCUCUACUGUAUCCCCAUCUAAGUCCUUGGAAGCUUUUAUGGUUGACUUCAAUACUAAAAUUAAGGUCUUUGAAGAUGUACAAGUAAAAAGUUUUUAAAAGUAAUCAGUAGACAUUUAAUUGCCAUUGAUUUCUGGUAGUAUUUAUUAUGUAAUAGUAUAAAAUCACAUCUAUUCAAACCUCUAAUUUGAAUAUGUAAAAAAUAUAUAUUGUGAGGAACUCCUACUCUCAAUUUCCAUUAGUUUCAGUCCUGCGUCUACCUCUUUUAGAGGGUAGGGACUGCUUUAUCACCAAGUUGAUCCUAAAACCAAGGCCCAGGGUCCCGCACCCUUAGCAAAAUAAAUAAUAUAGUGGAAUAAGUGAAUAAACAUCUGCCUUGAUGCUAAUCCUCUUGCUAUCUCUUCUCAAAGUGUGGUCUCUGGAGGUCCAUGAUAUAGUUCAUUUGGUUUGUGAAGUAAAGGACAUUUUCAUAAUAAUACUAAGACUUGAUUUACUUUUUUCACUAUGUUGAUAUUUGCACAGAUUGGGCAAGAGAAAUAGUGGGUAAAACCUGUGGGUGCCAACAUAUGAAUCAAGGUAGUGGCACCAAAUUGUUAGUAAGAGUCAUUGUAUUCUUCAUGGCCAUGCAGACUCAGUUUAAAAAAAAAAAAGGGAAAGAAAAACCAAUGUCAUUUAAGAAUGUCUUUAUGAAACAGUAAAAAUUAUUCAUUUUAUUAAAUUUUAAUCUUGGAGUGCACAUUCUAAUAUUCUGUGUUAGGAAGUUUGCCUGAAACACUUCUGCUGCUCAUGUAGGUAUUACCAUUAUCUCCAAAAAAAAAAAAAAAAAGGACUUGCUCUAUUGUUUGGGUUGUAA